CUCCUUCACUGGGACUUCAACCCCGGCCUUGCUGUGGCCGACAAGGUGCAUUGCCGUUUUGGACAAACUGUUCAUUUUUCGCCUUCUCGUUCAACCAAGGAAUUUUUCUUGGUUGUCUCCUUUUCCUCGGCCUAUUUUUCUCUGUCUAAAGAAUCCGUUAGUAUUGCUUUGCAAUGUUGUAUUCGUGGACAUCCACGUGGUUUCAAGGUUUCUUAG
rnacentral:rRNA from 1 species